rnacentral:RNase_P_RNA from 1 species
GAAAGCGGGUGAAUGGUCGCUCUUCUUCCUAACUAGGGUAAGAAGGGAGGAAAGUCCGGACACCCUUCUGAUCUUUUUCAGAAGAAGAUGCAUCACUGCAUUCCUCCGCAAACGCCGGGUGGGCUUGCCCCCCGAAGCUUCAGCGGAGGAGGGUGGCAGGUAACGCCUGCCGGACGCAAGUCCAGGGAGCCGAACGAGACUAGAGUGGUACGCACACGUGUAUACCCCUCGAGCUCUCCCAUAGGCCGAAGAGUGCAACAGAAACAUACCGCCCCAUAAUUAGGGGUAAGGGUGAAAUUGUGCGGUAAGAGCGCACAUCCCGCCGCGGCAACGCAGUGGGAGGGCAAACCCCACCCGGUGCAAUCCCAAGUUUUGGUAGGGAGCUUGAGCCUCAUCGCGAGGUGAGGCCCAGAUAGAUGAUCAUUCAUCCUGCCCAAGCGAAAGAUUAAGCGGGCCUCGCCCGCUGAAGCUUUAGCGAAAGCGGGAGGACAGAAUCCGGCUUACAGCCCGCUUUCAAAA